UUUCCGUAGGUGAACCUGCGGAAGGAUCAUUCAUAAUAAAGUGUUUUAUGGCACUUUUUAAAAAUCCAUAUCCACCUUGUGUGCAAUGUUAGAUCUCGUCAAUCUUGGCGAGAUUUUUAUACAUCAACUCAUUCUUUAACAAAUUUGUCUGAAAAAUAUUAUGAAUACUUAAUUCAAAAUACAACUUUCAACAACGGAUCUCUUGGCUCUC
rnacentral:misc_RNA from 1 species